rnacentral:rRNA from 1 species
GACGAACGCUGGCGGCGUGCUUAACACAUGCAAGUCGAACGGAAAGGCCCUGCUUUUGUGGGGUGCUCGAGUGGCGAACGGGUGAGUAACACGCGAGUAACCUGCCCUUGACUUUGGGAUAACUUCAGGAAACUGGGGCUAAUACCGGAUAGGAGCUCCUGCUGCAUGGUGGGGGUUGGAAAGUUUCGGCGGUUGGGGAUGGACUCGCGGCUUAUCAGCUUGUUGGUGGGGUAGGGGCUUUCCAAGGCUUUGACGGGUAGCCGGCCUGAGAGGGUGACCGGCCACAUUGGGACUGAGAUACGGCCCAGACUCCUACGGGAGGCAGCAGUGGGGAAUAUUGCACAAUGGGCGGAAGCCUGAUGCAGCAACGCCGCGUGCGGGAUGACGGCCUUCGGGUUGUAAACCGCUUUCGCAUGUGACGAAGCGUGAGUGACGGUAAUGGGUAAAGAAGCACCGGCUAACUACGUG